rnacentral:misc_RNA from 1 species
ACAAACUUGGUCAUUUAGAGGAAGUAAAAGUCGUAACAAGGUCUCCGUUGGUGAACCAGCGGAGGGAUCAUUACAGAGUGUAAAAACUCCCUAAACCACUGUUUAUCUACUCGAAAACAGCGUCUUGCUUCGGCGGGCGGCCCCUGGGAGGAGCCUGUAGCCGUUCGCGGCGCCCGCCGGAAGAGACCAAAACUCUGAAAUCAGUGUACCUCUGAGCAGACACAAAAAAAAAAUAAUCAAAACUUUCAACAACGGAUCUCUUGGUUCUGGCAUCGAUGAAGAACGCAGC